GAUGAACGCUGGCGGCGUGCCUAAUACAUGCAAGUCGAGCGAACGGACGAGAAGCUUGCUUCUCUGAUGUUAGCGGCGGACGGGUGAGUAACACGUGGAUAACCUACCUAUAAGACUGGGAUAACUUCGGGAAACCGGAGCUAAUACCGGAUAAUAUUUUGAACCGCAUGGUUCAAAAGUGAAAGACGGUCUUGCUGUCACUUAUAGAUGGAUCCGCGCUGCAUUAGCUAGUUGGUAAGGUAACGGCUUACCAAGGCAACGAUGCAUAGCCGACCUGAGAGGGUGAUCGGCCCCACUGGAACUGCGACACGGUCCAGACUCCUACGGGAGGCAGCAGUAGGGAAUCUUCCGCAAUGGGCGAAAGCCUGACGGAGCAACGCCGCGUGAGUGAUGAAGGUCUUCGGAUCGUAAAACUCUGUUAUUAGGGAAGAACAUAUGUGUAAGUAACUGUGCACAUCUUGACGGUACCUAAUCAGAAAGCCACGGCUAACUACGUG
rnacentral:rRNA from 1 species